rnacentral:rRNA from 1 species
UUGUAAUUUGGAGAAGGUGCUUCGGGUGCGACGGCGUUCCAAGUCCCCUGGAACUGGGCGUCAUAGAGGGUGAGAGUCCCGUACGGAUCGCGCGUCCAGCCCGUGUGAAGCCCUUUCGACGAGUCGAGUUGCUUGGGAAUGCAGCUCAAAAUGGGUGGUAAAUUUCAUCUAAAGCUAAAUAUCUGCCGGAGACCGAUAGCGCACAAGUAGAGUGAUCGAAAGAUGAAAAGCACUUUGAAAAGAGAGUCAAACAGUACGUGAAAUUGUUGAAAGGGAAGGGCUUGCAGCCAGACUCGUACGCGGGGGCUCCACCGUCCCUCGGGGCGGUUCACUCCCCCGCGAUCGGGCCAGCAUCGGUUUCGGCGGCCGGACAAAGGCCCUGGGAACGUAGCUCUCCCCGGAGAGUGUUAUAGCCCGGGGUGCAAUGCGGCCAGCCGGGACCGAGGACCGCGCUUCGGCUUGGAUGCUGGCGUAAUGGCUGCCAGCCGCCCGUCUUGAAACACGGACCGAGGAGUCGACCAAUCAUGCGAGUCUGUGGGUGUCAAACCCCCGGGCGCAAUGAAAGUGAACGCAGGUGGGAGCCUUCGGGUGCACCAUCGACCGAUCUUGAUGUCUUCGGAUGGAUUUGAGUACGAGCACGGCUGGUCGGACCCGAAAGAUGGUGAACUAUGCGCGGAUAGGGUGAAGCCAGAGGAAACUCUGGUGGAGGCUCGCAGCGGUUCUGACGUGCAAAUCGAUCGUCAAAUCUACGCAUAGGGGCGAAAGACUAAUCGAAUCAUCUAGUAGCUGGUUCCUGCCGAAGUUUCCCUCAGGAUAGCAGCAACGAGCAUGGAGUUUCAUGAGUUAGAGCGAACGAUUAGAGGCCUUGGGGCAAAAAUUGCCUUAACCUAUUCUCGAACUUCGAAUAUGUGAGAAGUCCUUGUUACUUAGUUGAA